rnacentral:rRNA from 1 species
AUGGGAACGCGAAGAACCUUACCUAGACUUGACAUCUCCUGAAUAGUGUAGAGAUACAUGAAGCCCUUCGGGGCAGGAAAACAGGUGGUGCAUGGUUGUCGUCAGCUCGUGUCGUGAGAUGUUGGGUUAAGUCCCGCAACGAGCGCAACCCUUAUUACUAGUUGCUACCAUUAAGUUGAGCACUCUAGUGAGACUGCCCGGGUUAACCGGGAGGAAGGCGGGGAUGACGUCAAAUCAUCAUGCCCCUUAUGUCUAGGGCAACACACGUGCUACAAUGGUGAGUACAGAUAGAUGCGAUACCGCAAGGUGGAGCCAAACUCUAAAACUCAUCCCAGUUCGGAUUGUAGGCUGCAACUCGCCUACAUGAAGUUGGAGUUGCUAGUAAUCGCGAAUCAGAAUGUCGCGGUGAAUACGUUCCCGGGUCUUGUACACACCG